rnacentral:rRNA from 1 species
UAAAGGUAUUCCGGUAGACGAUGGGGAUGCGUUCCAUUAGAUAGUAGGCGGGGUAACGGCCCACCUAGUCUUCGAUGGAUAGGGGUUCUGAGAGGAAGGUCCCCCACAUUGGAACUGAGACACGGUCCAAACUCCUACGGGAGGCAGUAGUGAGGAAUAUUGGUCAAUGGGCGAGAGCCUGAACCAGCCAAGUAGCGUGAAGGAUGACUGCCCUAUGGGUUGUAAACUUCUUUUAUAAAGGAAUAAAGUCGGGUAUGGAUACCCGUUUGCAUGUACUUUAUGAAUAAGGAUCGGCUAACUCCGUGCCAGCAGCCGCGGUAAUACGGAGGAUCCGAGCGUUAUCCGGAUUUAUUGGGUUUAAAGGGAGCGUAGAUGGAUGUUUAAGUCAGUUGUGAAAGUUUGCGGCUCAACCGUAAAAUUGCAGUUGAUACUGGAUAUCUUGAGUGCAGUUGAGGCAGGCGGAAUUCGUGGUGUAGCGGUGAAAUGCUUAGAUAUCACGAAGAACUCCGAUUGCGAAGGCAGCCUGCUAAGCUGCAACUGACAUUGAGGCUCGAAAGUGUGGGUAUCAAACAGGAUUAGAUACCCUGGUAGUCCACACGGUAAACGAUGAAUACUCGCUGUUUGCGAUAUACUGCAAGCGGCCA